rnacentral:rRNA from 1 species
AACGAACGCUGGCGGCAUGCCUAACACAUGCAAGUCGAACGAGACCUUCGGGUCUAGUGGCGCACGGGUGCGUAACGCGUGGGAACCUGCCCUUAGGUUCGGAAUAACUCCCCGAAAGGGGUGCUAAUACCGGAUAAUGUCUUCGGACCAAAGAUUUAUCGCCUUUGGAUGGGCCCGCGUUGGAUUAGCUAGUUGGUAGGGUAAAAGCCUACCAAGGCGACGAUCCAUAGCUGGUCUGAGAGGAUGAUCAGCCACACUGGGACUGAGACACGGCCCAGACUCCUACGGGAGGGGGGAGUGGGGGAUAGUGGACAAUGGGGGGUAGUCUGAUCCAGCAAGGACGCGUGAGUGAUGAAGGCCGGAGGGUAGUAAAGCUCUUUUACCCGGGAUGAUAAUGACGUUACCGAGAGAAUAAGCACCGGCUAACUCCGUG